GUGGCCAUGACGGCGGUGGGCGGCUCCAUCUGCGUCAUGCUCGUGGUUAUCUGCCUACUCGUGGCCUACAUCACGGAGAACCUCAUGCACCCGGCCUUCGGGCGCCCGGGCCUGCGCCGGCAGCCCUGAAGUGCGAGGCGCCCGCCAGACCGGGCUCUGCCUGCCCGACUAGGGUGCGGGAGGCCCCAGGCCCUUGGCCCGCUCUCCCCUCCCCGCUCUCGCUCCAUCCUGAGGAUCUCCACGCAGGGCCUGCUGGAGAUAGAUGGGGCACCGGCCGGCCCUUCCCAGGGCCUUGGAGUCACCGCACGACCUUUCCAGCUGAGCAGCCGCCUCCCAAACUCCAGCUCGGGACUGGCCCUUGGGCCUGAGUGGAGAUGCCAGCCGCGUGCAGGGCUCUCCCCGCUCUCCAGAGCCCUUGGGGGGUACCAUCAGAGCACAGAGACCCUCUUCGCAAGAGCCAUUGGCACCCCCGGGCCGUCACCCUGCGCCUCCAGUCUGUGACGAGUUGGAAAAAACCAGGCUGUCGUUAUGGCUUGGUCACUGUGUGCUUUUCCCACUCAAGGGGGCCGCUUGGAGCCUGUCCUCUCCCCGCCCCACCCCAGUGGGCUUAGGUAGCUUCGUGCCUUAGUAUCUCGGGCCCACUGCGGGAGCCAGCCACCCUUCCAGUGCUGUCCAAGAGGGUCUGUGGCCCCGAUGCUGGCAGCUUGCGCGUGCUUCUGGCCAGAGCCCCCCUGGGGACCCUCCCUUCAAGCUUUGCAGGAACAUCCAGUUUGGGUAAGAAGCGUCCUGCGGUGUUUCCCUGUGUGGGCAUUUGACAAGUUGGGAGCCGUGACUUAGCUCGGCAGGCGGCCCAGCGUCCAGCUGUUGUUUCCGGGGGUGAGUGUCCCCUGACCUCGGGGGGAGCUGGCAGUUCACCAGGGCUGGGCUCCCUCCCCUUCCUUUUGUGUGUCUGGUGAGGACUUUCCAUGGGGACUGGGGGUCUGAAAGAGCAGUGCCGUAUCCAGAGGGUGAAGGAUAGAUGCCAACUUGCCCAGCUGGACCUUCCACUGUGAUCUGGAUCCCAAGCCUCAACCACGGCAUGACGGACAGCACCAUGCCACCCCAUCCCCGAGCCAGUGGCCAGCUGCCCCGGAUCUGGCUGGGUGCUGCCCCCUGCCCACCUACCCGCUCGCCGUGGACUGAAGGCUGGCCUUGCCCGUCUCCGGGCAGACCUGAGCAUCUUGGCCGAGGUUCCCUCCUGUGCCAGCCACCUGACGAUGCUGGGCGCUGGGAGGGGCGAAGCAUGGCUCGCCCGGCUCUGCGUGAGCCCCCGACUGUGGCUGUCCUGGACCCGGCACAUCUGGAGUCACUGUGGCGAACUCCCCCUCCCCCAGCAGCCACCAGCGACCCUCACACCAGCAGCCUGGCUGGUGCCCCUGCAGCGCCCACUCCCUACCUCUCUGUCCUUGCUCUGCCCGCCCCUGGUGUGGCACUGGUCAGGCGUGAGCCUGGCGCCAGUGUCUAAAUGUCUAUCAUUCUUAGACCC
rnacentral:lncRNA from 1 species